CUGAGAGCCGGACACAUAAUCUCCUUUGACACCAAAAAGAGUUGGCCUCACCCUGACCUUUGCUCCCUGCUUCACUGAUUUCUGGUGUUUCCUGGACCUGAUGGGUGUCACGUUGCCCAUGGCAUGGAUGUGGCCUGGAAUAAUCAAGCUCACCUGUAGAGGAUGGAUCUGUGGGGACAGAUUGCCAGACAGGGAGGGCAACAGUCCACAAGGAGAUGACAGUGACUGCACCUGAGUGCUGGGCUCUCUCCCUCCUGUGCUGCUGAUGGAAGAUGAGCUUCUGAACCCUGGAUUCACACCUGGCUGAACCUCCUUUGCGAUGGGCCUGGG
rnacentral:lncRNA from 13 species